UGGAAUGAACGAAACAAAGUGUUUAAUGGAAUUUCAUUAAAUUUUAUAUUACGACCAAUUAUAUACUGAAAAUUUAAAGCAAACGUCGAAAAAGGUUAGUCAGACUUAUGUAUAAGUUAUCUGCCCUUGAGAUGGCCUAAAAUAGAAAAAAAAACUGAGAUCGGGUAACGUUUAAGAUAAUGCUGUUUUUAUUGUGCCUUUAUGUUUUUAAGAAUACGAAAUUUAUGAAAGAGAACUUGUGUUUUACAGGGAUGUUUUACCAGCCUACAGGACAUUAUUUAUGCCAACGUCGCCACUAUAAUUGGUGUCGGAGUUACAAUUGCUGUCCUACAGAUUGUGACAUUUUUCCUGGCAAUUGGUAUGUGUAUGGACCCGAAAACAAGUACCGGAAUAUGACAUAAACUAUAAAUUUAUAUGGAAGGACAACUUACAUUCGCUACAUUAUGGGAGAUAAUAAUUGAGAAAAAUUCUCUUGUAUUUUAAAGUGACAUUAUGCUCAUAUUUUCAUUGUCAAGUUGAGCUGAAUUGACUUUAUAUUUCAAAAAUUGACUGGUUAAAUGACUUUUGACCAACAGAUUAUAUUGGAAAAUGUUUAGGAUAAAAUUUAAAAUCUGAAAAAAAAUACAAAAAGACUCUUUUUAUAAAUUGAACGUUACAGGUAAAUUCUAAAUGAUAUUUACUAAAAUUCCGUUUGAAUCCGGUGGUUAUUUAUUGUUAAUCCGAAGUAAAUCAUUAAAUCAAAAGGAAUUAUUGCAAAAUAAAAAUUUAUUUUGACUCUCACCAGUUCACUCACUAUAUACCUUUAGAUGGACAUAAUGUCACUUUAAUUUGAAUUUCAACGACCAUGCAUUGUUAUGCAAAUAAGAUAUAAUUUUCCUUAUUUAGAUACUUGGUAUUUUCUUCGCCGUUGGAUCGUGCAUGGACACCGGAAAUGAUUACAGUUACAGUCGUUUGAAUAUCUGACGCAGUGUAGAUAAUAAUUUACAAAAAAGAAGUUCUUUAUGUAUCAAAAGUGUGACAAAAUAAACGUGUGUGAAUCUUUUGUGAAAAAAUAAAAUAAUGGAUCAUGUUGAUAAAAGGUUCGUCUUCAGAAAUAUCACAGAGCUCUAUUUAAUUGUAAUAGAAGUCUUUGGAAACAUAUAUAAGAAGAGAAAGGCAUCAAAGAAAUGUCGUUUUUUUUCCAGAAUCUCAAACUUGCGAAUUUUUAACAAAUCGUCUGUACAUAUAUUUGUUUUAAUUAAAGCGACCUUCAGCUUUUAUUUUCUGUUCGAAAAAACAAUUUUGCUUUGUUUCAAACUAAGUAUUUAAGUAAUUUUAUUUUGAAAAAAAAACAACAAAAACAACAACAAAAACAUGUGACUGUUUAUUUUCUUUAAAACAGCGUCCCGAGAUCUAUUUAUAACGCGUCAGUGACGUCAUUUCUAAAAAUAGAAGAUCGGGAACCGAUCCGUCCGCUAUAUAUACUAUAAUAAUAAUAAUACUAAUUGGACCGGUAGGUUAGAGGAUUCCUAGGAGUUUCUUUAUUAUUUAUGUAUUUCUUUGUCGGCAAAUUUCAUUUCCACGAUAUAAUUUUUUAUAUGACAAUAAUAUGAAACGAUUUAUCUAAAAAAACAUAGUUAACCUUUAGAAAACCUGAAGGCCGCUUUAAUUUCCCUUGAAGUUUAUAGCUUGAAUAAAGAUAAUAAACAUGUUAGUGAUGAUACUUAUGUUAAUAAAUCAUAAUUUCAUGUAUAUAUGUGUAUACCAUUUUAUUAUUAGUGAUUUUAAUACAAACUACAAAGUAA